rnacentral:rRNA from 1 species
AGGAUGAACGCUGGCGGCGUGCCUAAAACAUGCAAGUCAUACGGUCUACCUUCGGGUAGACAGUGGCAAACGGGUGAGUAACACGUGGGAACACGCCUUCGAGUGGGGAAUAACGCUGAGAAAUCAGUGCUAAUACCGCAUAUGGUCUAACGACUAAAGCAGCAAUGCGCUCGGAGAGUGGCCCGCGUCCGAUUAGCUAGUUGGUGGGGUAAUGGCCUACCAAGGCGGUGAUCGGUAGCUGGUCUGAGAGGAUGGUCAGCCACACUGGGACUGCGAACGGCCCAGACUCCUACGGGAGGCAGCAGUUAGGAAUUUUCGGCAAUGGACGAAAGUCUGACCGAGCGACGCCGCGUGGAGGAUGAAGCCUUUCGGGGUGUAAACUCCUUUUCUGCGGGAAGAUAAUGACGGUACCGCAGGAAUAAGCACCGGCUAACUACGCGCCAGCAGCCGC